rnacentral:rRNA from 1 species
UACGUAGGGUGCAAGCGUUGUCCGGAAUUAUUGGGCGUAAAGAGCUCGUAGGCGGUCUGUCGCGUCUGCUGUGAAAACCUAGGGCUUAACUCUGGGCGUGCAGUGGGUACGGGCAGGCUAGAGUGUGGUAGGGGAGACUGGAAUUCCUGGUGUAGCGGUGAAAUGCGCAGAUAUCAGGAGGAACACCGAUGGCGAAGGCAGGUCUCUGGGCCACUACUGACGCUGAGAAGCGAAAGCAUGGGGAGCGAACAGG